AGACCGGAGCUGUUCCUAUUCAGCCAUCUUGGCUCCUCCCCUGACUGAUGUCCUCCUUAUAGGAAUGGGAAAUUCAGAUGCAGACAGGUGCUGAAGACCAUGUGAAGGCACAGGGAGGAGGUGGCCAUCUGCAAGCCAAGGAGAGAAGCCUCAGAAGAAACCAACCCUGCCAACACCGUGACCUCAGACUCCAGCCCCCAGAACUAUUCCAUAGAAUGUUCCCUGUUUCUUCAUCUAUGACAUGGGGAUAAUGUGAGUAUACCUACAUCAGAGGGCUGCGAUGAAGACUAAAUAAGCUCCUGCCAUCAAAAGUUGGAGUCUGUUUCCCCACGCCUUGAAUCUGGGCUGGCUCUAUGAUCCACUUUGGACAACAGAAUUUGGUGGAAGUGAUGCUAUGCCAAUGCUGAGGUGAGGCCUCAAGAGGCCUUGUGGGCUGUGACUCUUUUGGAACGCUGCCUAGCUGUCACGUGAACAAGGCUACUGCAUGAUGAGAGACCAUAUGGAGCCAAAACAUGCCUUUCCAGCUGAGGCCCUCCUAGUCCAGCCAGCCCUAGAUGCACAAGCUGGUGACCAAAGAUACAUGAGUGAGUCCAGAUGAGAAGUCCCUCGUUGAGCCCAGCCCAAUUGCUGAUCCACUGACUUGUGAGCCCACAGAUGGAUAUUCUUUGUUCUUAUCAACCUCCUCAUCAAAUACUUCAACCACUGACUGCCAGGCUGGCCUGUGCUGAGCAGAGGAGAUUAAAAG
rnacentral:lncRNA from 1 species